CCUACGGGAGGCAGCAGUGAGGAAUAUUGGUCAAUGGGCGUAAGCCUGAACCAGCCAAGUCGCGUGAGGGAUGAAGGCUCUAUGGAUCGUAAACCUCUUUUAUACGGGAAUAAAGUGCGGGACGUGUCCCGUUUUGUAUGUACCUUAUGAAUAAGGAUCGGCUAACUCCGUGCCAGCAGCCGCGGUAAUACGGAGGAUCCGAGCGUUAUCCGGAUUUAUUGGGUUUAAAGGGUGCGUAGGCGGCCGGUUAAGUCAGCGGUGAAAGUCUGUGGCUCAACCACGGAAUUGCCGUUGAAACUGGUAGGCUUGAGUAUGUUUGAGGCAGGCGGAAUGCGUGGUGUAGCGGGGAAAUGCUUAGAGAUCACGCAGAACCCCGAUUGCGAAGGCAGCCUACCAAGCCAUGACUGACGCUGAUGCACGAAAGCGUGGGGAUCAAACAGGAUUAGAUACCCUAGUAGUC
rnacentral:rRNA from 1 species